rnacentral:rRNA from 1 species
UAGGGAAUAUUGGACAAUGGGCGCAAGCCUGAUCCAGCCAUGCCGCGUGCAGGAUGACGGCCCUAUGGGUUGUAAACUGCUUUUGUACGGGAAAAAACCCUUCUACGUGUAGAAGGCUGAUGGUACCGUAAGAAUAAGGAUCGGCUAACUCCGUGCCAGCAGCCGCGGUAAUACGGAGGAUCCAAGCGUUAUCCGGAUUCAUUGGGUUUAAAGGGUGCGUAGGCGGAAUGAUAAGUCAGUGGUGAAAUCCUGCAGCUUAACUGCAGAACUGCCUCUGAUACUGUCAAUCUUGAGUACAUUUGAUGUGGGCGGAAUGUGUCAUGUAGCGGUGAAAUGCAUAGAUAUGACACAGAACACCGAUUGCGAAGGCAGCUCACAAAACUGUAACUGACGCUGAGGCACGAAAGCGUGGGGAUCGAACAGGAUUAGAUACCCUGGUAGUCCACGCUGUAAACGAUGAUCACUCGAUGUUGGCGAUAUACUGUCAGCGUCCAAGCGAAAGUGUUAAGUGAUCCACCUGGGGAGUACGAUCGCAAGAUUGA